UACGUAGGGUGCAAACGUUGUUCGGAAUCACUGGGCAUAAAGAGCGCGUAGGCGGCUCAGUCAGUCCUUUGUGAAAGCCCCCGGCCUAACCGGGGAAUUGCAGGGGAUACUACUGGGCUUGAGUACAGAAGAGGAGAGCGGAAUUCCUGGUGGAGCGGUGAAAUGCGUAGAUAUCAGGAGGAACGCCGGCGGCGAAAGCGGCUCUCUGGUCUGUUACUGACGCUGAGGCGCGAAAGCUAGGGGAGCAAAC
rnacentral:rRNA from 1 species